rnacentral:rRNA from 1 species
UACGUAGGGGGCUAGCGUUGUCCGGAAUCAUUGGGCGUAAAGCGCGUGUAGGCGGCUCGAUAAGACCGAUGUGAAAUCCCCGGGCUUAACCUGGGAACUGCAUUGGUGACUGCAGGGCUAGAGUGUGUCAGAGGGAAGUGGAAUUCCGCGUGUAGCAGUGAAAUGCGUAGAGAUGCGGAGGAACACCGAUGGCGAAGGCAGCCUCCUGGGAUAACACUGACGCUCAGGCACGAAAGCGUGGGUAGCAAACAGG